rnacentral:rRNA from 1 species
GAUGAACGCUGGCGGCGUGCCUAAUACAUGCAAGUCGAGCGAAUGGAUUAAGAGCUUGCUCUUAUGAAGUUAGCGGCGGACGGGUGAGUAACACGUGGGUAACCUGCCCAUAAGACUGGGAUAACUCCGGGAAACCGGGGCUAAUACCGGAUAACAUUUUGAACCGCAUGGUUCGAAAUUGAAAGGCGGCUUCGGCUGUCACUUAUGGAUGGACCCGCGUCGCAUUAGCUAGUUGGUGAGGUAACGGCUCACCAAGGCAACGAUGCGUAGCCGACCUGAGAGGGGGAUCGGCCACACGGGGACUGAGACACGGCCCAGACUCCUGCGGGAGGCAGCAGUAGGGAAUCUUCCGCAAUGGACGAAAGUCUGACGGAGCAACGCCGCGUGAGUGAUGAAGGCUUUCGGGUCGUAAAACUCUGUUGUUAGGGAAGAACAAGUGCUAGUUGAAUAAGCUGGCACCUUGACGGUACCUAACCAGAAAGCCACGGCUGACUACGUGCCAGCCGCCGCAGUAA